CUCAAACGGUUACUUUUAGCCUUCGAAAAUUGAGUUUGGCAAUGAUUCAAUUGUAUGCACUUGUUUUUGUCUCAACAGCAUUAGGUGGCACCUCAAAUGAUGCCCCAU